UUGUGGAGGAGGACGCCGAAGGUGGGGCUAAUGACUGGGGUGAAGUCGUAACAAGGUAGCCGUACCGGAAGGUGCGGCUGGAUCACCUCCUAACAGGGAGACAACAAAAUGUUUAAUAUUAUUAUUUUGUCACCUUAGGUCGAUCGGUAUCUCACGUUUUUAAUUAAUUAAGAAUUUCAUUUCCUAAGUUUUUCUAGGUCACACCCAUUAUUUUUCCUGGGCCAUUAGCUCAGGUGGUUAGAGCGCACCCCUGAUAAGGGUGAGGUCCCUGGUUCAAGUCCAGGAUGGCCCAUAUCUCUAUGUUGGGGGUAUAGCUCAGUUGGUAGAGCGCCUGCUUUGCAAGCAGGAUGUCAGCGGUUCGAGUCCGCUUACCUCCACUGAUUACCACCUCUUCCAUAUACCGGUAGAAAGGAAAUGUUUUGAGUUGUGAUCAAAUUCUGAAAGAAUCUAGCUUCCUAAUGAAAUCAUUAAGAUGCUGGACUCAUUGAAUUAAUUUCAUUGUUUUCAGAGAACCUUGACAACUGCAUAGAUUUUUUUUAAAGACAAUAAGCAUUUUUAAUGAUGCAGAUUUAUUAUUUGUGCAAAUGCAUUAAUAACAAUUCUAUUAAGCUGAUGCUUCAAUUUUGAAGUUAUUGGUCAAGCUACAA
rnacentral:misc_RNA from 1 species